UGAGCAACAUAUGCUAUAGCAGAUGACUGGCCAAAUUGAAUUUGGGAAUAGCUAAUGCAGCAAUUUGAUUUGUUUCAAUUGCUUGCUCAGCUAGGAUGAGCAAUGUUACUUCAGCGUUUGUCUAAGCUACCAGUAUCUUUAAACUUGAAGGCGAGUUAAACAGUCGCGGAUCCGAAAUGUAGACUCUGUAGGUUCUGAGUUGAGAGAGCAGUUCAGAAUUACAUAUCUAACUCUAUUGAUACUUGUUCACGCUGGAGUUAAAUGACUCGAUGACUUUAUCAGUUACCGAAAUUCAGGUACCUCGCGAGGGUGUGGCUGGCAAAAGAUAGGGGCAUUCGUAAACUUGGGAGCUUAUAGCUGCUGGUAUUAUAUUAGCUUUUGUCUACCAUUUUGGUGGAAAGGGACUUUGGCGGGGAAUCACUCUUGCCCUAUGUGCACAAGCGCUACUUCUUUUCAUAGUUACCCUGCAGACAAAUUGGGAAAAAGAGGCGAAGAAGGAAGUUGAUAGAGUAACUCCAGAGCUAGUUAACAGAGAAGAAAAUGCAGAAUGACACUGGACAAGCAAGGUGAAAAGUUUUUCAUCCAAAUAAUAUGGCAAGAUGCUAAAAGCUGUUAUAACUAUUCUUGGUAUACAUGAUGGGGGAAAACUAAUGGAUAUUGGAAAAUUGACUACACCAGAUGGUAAUUUAAAUGAA